UGGUCAUUACCAAGGCUUUUAGAAUGCAGUUUCUCAUUUGCUGUGGACAUGACCAUAAAAAAAGUUUCCCACUAGGUUUUAUUUCUGCUACUUUGUAGCAAUCAGCCUGUUGGGAACAUUU
ensembl:snoRNA SNORA32 small nucleolar RNA, H/ACA box 32